rnacentral:rRNA from 1 species
UUAAGCGACUAAGCGUACACGGUGGAUGCCCUGGCAGUCAGAGGCGAUGAAGGACGUGCUAAUCUGCGAAAAGCGCCGGCGAGGUGAUAUGAACCUUUGACCCGGCGAUGUCCGAAUGGGGAAACCCAGUGCAAUUCGUUGCACUAUCGUUAACUGAAUACAUAGGUUAACGAGGCGAACCGGGGGAACUGAAACAUCUAAGUACCCCGAGGAAAAGAAAUCAACCGAGAUUCCCCCAGUAGCGGCGAGCGAACGGGGAGCAGCCCAGAGUCUGAAUCAGCUUGUGUGUUAGUGGAAGCGUCUGGAAAGUCGCACGGUACAGGGUGACAGUCCCGUACACGAAAGCACACAGGCUGUGAACUCGAAGAGUAGGGCGGGACACGUGGUAUCCUGUCUGAAUAUGGGGGGACCAUCCUCCAAGGCUAAAUACUCCUGACUGACCGAUAGUGAACCAGUACCGUGAGGGAAAGGCGAAAAGAACCCCGGCGAGGGGAGUGAAAAAGAACCUGAAACCGUGUACGUACAAGCAGUGGGAGCACCUUCGUGGUGUGACUGCGUACCUUUUGUAUAAUGGGUCAGCGACUUAUAUUCUGUAGCAAGGUUAACCGUAUAGGGGAGCCGAAGGGAAACCGAGUCUUAACUGGGCGUUAAGUUGCAGGGUAUAGACCCGAAACCCGGUGAUCUAGCCAUGGGCAGGUUGAAGGUUGGGUAACACUAACUGGAGGACCGAACCGACUAAUGUUGAAAAAUUAGCGGAUGACUUGUGGCUGGGGGGGAAAGGCCAAUCAAACCGGGAGAUAGCUGGUUCUCCCCGAAAGCUAUUUAGGUAGCGCCUCGUGAACUCAUCUUCGGGGGUAGAGCACUGUUUCGGCUAGGGGGCCAUCCCGGCUUACCAACCCGAUGCAAACUACGAAUACCGAAGAAUGUUAUCACGGGAGACACACGGCGGGUGCUAACGUCCGUCGUGAAGAGGGAAACAACCCAGACCGCCAGCUAAGGUCCCAAAGUCAUGGUUAAGUGGGAAACGAUGUGGGAAGGCACAGACAGCCAGGAUGUUGGCUUAGAAGCAGCCAUCAUUUAAAGAAAGCGUAAUAGCUCACUGGUCGAGUCGGCCUGCGCGGAAGAUGUAACGGGGCUAAACCAUGCACCGAAGCUGCGGCAGCGACGCUUAUGCGUUGUUGGGUAGGGGAGCGUUCUGUAAGCCGUUGAAGGUGUGCUGUGAGGCAUGCUGGAGGUAUCAGAAGUGCGAAUGCUGACAUAAGUAACGAUAAAGCGGGUGAAAAGCCCGCUCGCCGGAAGACCAAGGGUUCCUGUCCAACGUUAAUCGGGGCAGGGUGAGUCGACCCCUAAGGCGAGGCCGAAAGGCGUAGUCGAUGGGAAACAGGUUAAUAUUCCUGUACUUGGUGUUACUGCGAAGGGGGGACGGAGAAGGCUAUGUUAGCCGGGCGACGGUUGUCCCGGUUUAAGCAUGUAGGCGGAGGUUCCAGGUAAAUCCGGUACCUUUUAACGCUGAGGUGUGAUGACGAGGCACUACGGUGCUGAAGUAACAAAUGCCCUGCUUCCAGGAAAAGCCUCUAAGCAUCAGGUAACAUCAAAUCGUACCCCAAACCGACACAGGUGGUCAGGUAGAGAAUACCAAGGCGCUUGAGAGAACUCGGGUGAAGGAACUAGGCAAAAUGGUGCCGUAACUUCGGGAGAAGGCACGCUGAUAUGUAGGUGAAGCCCCUGCGGGUGGAGCUGAAAUCAGUCGAAGAUACCAGCUGGCUGCAACUGUUUAUUAAAAACACAGCACUGUGCAAACACGAAAGUGGACGUAUACGGUGUGACGCCUGCCCGGUGCCGGAAGGUUAAUUGAUGGGGUUAGCGGUAACGCGAAGCUCUUGAUCGAAGCCCCGGUAAACGGCGGCCGUAACUAUAACGGUCCUAAGGUAGCGAAAUUCCUUGUCGGGU